rnacentral:rRNA from 1 species
GUAAGUUGUAAAGGGCGCACGGUGGAUGCCUAGGUGCCAGGAACCGAUGAAGGACGUGGCCAGCUGCGAAAAGCUGUGGGGAGCUGCAAGCGAGCAUAGAUCCACAGAUGUCCGAAUGGGAGAACCUGGUAUGCGAUAAACGCAUAUCAUCCUUAACUGAAUACAUAGGUUAAGUGACGGGAACUCAGGGAAUUGAACCAUCUUAGUACCUGAAGGAAGAGAAAGUAAUAACGAUUGCCAUAGUAGCGGCGAGCGAAUUGGCAAGAGCCUAAACCGACCAUGGUGUUAAAGCCUGGCAGCGUUGCCUGGUCGGUGUCGUGGGAUCAUUAGUUUUGCCGUGUCAGCGGCAGGGAUGUUGACCUGGCUCAUGUAGUCGAAGCAGUCUGGAAAGGCUCACAAUAUAAGGUGAUAGUCCUGUAGACGGCACAUGAGGGGCGACAUGUAAUGACACCCGAGUACUACGGGAUCUGGGAAAGCCCGUGGGAAUUAGCGAGGACCGUCUCGUAAGGCUAAAUAUUACCUGGCGACCGAUAGUGUAGCAGUACCGUGAGGGAAAGGUGAAAAGUAUGCCGGUGAGGCAAGUGAAAUAGAACCUGAAACCGUGUGCCUACAAUCAGUCAGAGGGCUAUGCAGUUCUUCGGAGCUGAAUGCCUGAUGGCGUGCCUAUAGAAGAAUGAUCCGACGAGUUACUGUAUGUAGCGAGGUUAAGCCGGAAAUGGCGGAGCCGCAGCGAAAGCGAGUCUGAAUAGGGCGAUAGUUGCAUAUAGUAGACCCGAAACCAGGUGAGCUACCCUUGGCCAGGAUGAAGCUUUGGUAACACAAAGUGGAGGUCCGAAUGCCUCAACGUUGAAAAGUUGAGUAAUGAGCUGUGGGUAGGGGUGAAAAGCCAAUCGAACCUGGAGAUAGCUGGUUCUCCCCGAAAUAGUUUUAGGACUAGCCUCGGAAAAGAAUCUGAUGGGGGUAAAGCACUGGAUGGGCUAGGGGGCACACCAGCUUACCAACCCCAACCAAACUCUGAAUACCAUCAGAUGUUCUCCGGGAGUCAGGCACAGUGAGAUAAGUUUCUGUGUCGCGAGGGAAACAGCCCAGACCGUCGGUUAAGGUCCCAAAGUAUAUGCUGAGUGGGAAAGGAUGUGGAGGUCCUCAGACAGCCAGGAGGUUGGCUUAGAAGCAGCCAUUCCUUUAAAGAGUGCGUAAUAGCUCACUGGUCGAGGGCUUCUGCGCCGAAAAUGUAACGGGGCUAAGCAUAUCACCGAAGCCACGGGUCUAGUAGUAUUUCGAUACUAUUGGGCGGUAGGGGAGCGUUCUGCCGUAGGAAGAAGGCAUACCGCGAGGAGUGCUGGACGAAGCAGAAGUGAGAAUGUCGGAACGAGUAGCGAUAAGACGGGUGAGAAACCCGUUCGCCGUAAACCUAAGGUUUCCUGGGGAAGGUUAAUCCUCCCAGGGUUAGUCGGUCCUAAGCUGAGGCCGAGAGGCGUAGGUGAAGGGAAACAGGUUAAUAUUCCGUACCAUGGUCAGUUGUUCUAUCGAUGGAGUGACGCAGGAAGUUAUACCCGCACGGAAAGAAAUUGCCGUGUCGAACGGUGUAGGCAGUGAUCGCAGGUAAAUCCGCGGUUGCUAUCAAGCUGAGGCCGGACAGGCCACCGAAUCAAGUAGGUGGAAGGAGUAGAUACUACGCUGCCGAGAAAAGCUUCUAAGAGAGACUGAUUGUGACCGUACCGUAAACCGACACAGGUGGGUGAGGAGAAUAUCCUAAGGCGCUCGAAAGAACCCACGUUAAGGAACUCGGCAAAUUAACUCCGUAACUUCGGGAGAAGGAGUGCUCCGGUAGGGUGACUGGAAUACAUAGGAAACUUUGUAUCGAAAGGUAGCCCGAUGGAGUCGCAGAGAAUAGGCUCAGGCGACUGUUUAUCAAAAACACAGGACUCUGCUAAAGCGAAUAGCCGACGUAUAGGGUCUGAUGCCUGCCCAAUGCUGGAAGGUUACGGGGAGGAGUCAGGAGUGGUAACAUUCCGAAGCUCUGAACUUAAGCCCCAGUGAAUGGCGGCCGUAACUAUAACGGUCCUAAGGUAGCGAAAUCCCUUGUCAGGUAAGUUCUGACCCGCAUGAAUGGCUUAACGGUCUGAGCACUGUCUCAACGUGGGGUUCGGCGAAACUGUGCACCGGGUGAAGACGCCCGGUAUCCGCAUCAGGACAAAAAGACCCCGUGGAGCUUUACUGUAUCUUGAUAUUGGAUUUUGGCCUGUUAUGUAGAGCAUAGGUGGGAGACUAUGAAGUUAGGGCGCCAGCCUUGGCGGAGUCGACAAUGGAAUACCACCCUUAUCAGUCUGGAAUUCUAACCUUGGCCCGUUGAUCCGGGUCGGGGACAGUGUCAGGUGGGCAGUUUGACUGGGGCGGUCGCCUCCUAAAGAGUAACGGAGGCG